rnacentral:rRNA from 1 species
AACGAACGCUGGCGGCAUGCCUAACACAUGCAAGUCGAACGAGACCUUCGGGUCUAGUGGCGCACGGGUGCGUAACGCGUGGGAAUCUGCCCUUGGGUUCGGAAUAACAGUUAGAAAUGACUGCUAAUACCGGACGAUGACUUCGGUCCAAAGAUUUAUCGCCCAAUGAUGAGCCCGCGUAGGAUUAGCUUGUUGGUGAGGUAAAAGCUCACCAAGGCGACGAUCCUUAGCUGGUCUGAGAGGAUGAUCAGCCACACUGGGACUGAGACACGGCCCAGACUCCUACGGGAGGCAGCAGUGGGGAAUAUUGGACAAUGGGCGAAAGCCUGAUCCAGCAAUGCCGCGUGAGUGAUGAAGGCCUUAGGGUUGUAAGGCUCUUUUACCCGGGAUGAUAAUGACAGUACCGGGAGAAUAAGCCCCGGCUAACUCCGUGCCAGCCGCCGCGGUAACAC